rnacentral:tRNA from 1 species
UCCCUGGUGGUCCAGUGGUUAAGACUCCACGCUCCCAAUGCAGGGGACCUGGGUUCGAUCUCUGGCCAGGGAA